rnacentral:rRNA from 1 species
AGCGAACGCUGGCGGCGUGCCUAACACAUGCAAGUCGAACGUGAAAAGGGAAACCUGCGUAACGUGGCGUACGGGUGAGUAACGCGUAGGUAAUCUACCCCAGAAUCUGGAAUAACCUGCCGAAAGGUGGGCUAAUACUGGAUAGAGCGAGGGAACUCGUAAGAGAGUUUUUCGGGAAAGGGAGCCCGCAAGGGCCUUCGUUCUGGGAUGAGCCUGCGUCUCAUUAGCUAGUUGGUAAGGUAACGGCUUACCAAGGCGAUGAUGAGUAGCUGGUCUGAGAGGAUGAUCAGCCACACUGGAACUGAAACACGGGCCAGACUCCUACGGGAGGCAGCAGUGGGGAAUCUUGCGCAAUGGACGAAAGUCUGACGCAGCCACGCCGCGUGAGUGAAGAAGGCCUUCGGGUUGGAAAGCUCUGUCGGAUGGGACGAACAUCGUCAUAGUGAAUAGCUAUGAGGACUGACGGUACCAUCAAAGGAAGCACCGGCUAACUCCGUG